rnacentral:lncRNA from 1 species
CCUCAGAGCCCAAGGCUGUGGAGCUGUUGUGUGGCUGUUAAAAGAAGUUUCAGAAGGAGCUGCAGCUUGUGCUCAUUACAAGCCCAUGCCUUCAACUAAAAUAUACAAUAGCAUAAAGACCACUGAGGAGGACACAACCUUCUUGCCAAGAGGAAACAGUGAAAGCAUUUUUGAUGCUCAAAGAUCAGCCUCUGUCCACCUCUGCAUGCCAGAACAGAGCUGAGGACUACAAACCUAUUUUUUCCUAAAGUAGUCAAGGGAGGAUUUGGAUACAAGCUGUGACAAUAAGGACUUACCACAGAGAGAAGUGUCUGCUUUCUUUGUAAAUGUUGGUUGGAUGGAUGGGAACUAAAAUGUUAGUGAAACAGUCACUUUUUUCAAACUACUAUUCAAAUUAUUCUCAUCAUUAACAUAAAAACUGUUAGUGUUUUGACUGACGAUUUAACUAUACUUGGCAGAAAGUCACAGAAAGAAAAUGUAUAGCAGACUAUUAGCAUUUUCACUCCUUGUUAAAGAUUUAAAGAAUAAAAAAGCCCUAAAAAUAUAACCA